rnacentral:rRNA from 1 species
AUUGAACGCUGGCGGCAUGCUUUACACAUGCAAGUCGAACGGCAGCGCGGGCUUCGGCCUGGCGGCGAGUGGCGAACGGGUGAGUAAUACAUCGGAACGUGCCCAGUAGUGGGGGAUAGCUCGGCGAAAGCCGGAUUAAUACCGCACACGACCUGGGGGUGAAAGCGGGGGAUCUUCGGACCUCGCGCUAUUGGAGCGGCCGAUGGCAGAUUAGCUAGUUGGUGGGGUAAAGGCCUACCAAGGCGACGAUCUGUAGCUGGUCUGAGAGGACGACCAGCCACACUGGGACUGAGACACGGCCCAGACUCCUACGGGAGGCAGCAGUGGGGAAUUUUGGACAAUGGGCGAAAGCCUGAUCCAGCAAUGCCGCGUGUGUGAUGAAGGCCUUCGGGUUGUAAAGCACUUUUGGCGGGAACGAAAAGGACUGUGCCAAUACCACGGUUCGAUGACGGUACCCGCAGAAUAAGCACCGGCUAACUACGUG